rnacentral:rRNA from 1 species
UACGUAGGGUGCGAGCGUUGUCCGGAAUUAUUGGGCGUAAAGAGCUUGUAGGCGGUCUGUCGCGUCUGCUGUGAAAACUCGGGGCUUAACCCCGGGCCUGCAGUGGGUACGGGCAGACUAGAGUGCGGUAGGGGAGACUGGAAUUCCUGGUGUAGCGGUGGAAUGCGCAGAUAUCAGGAGGAACACCGAUGGCGAAGGCAGAUCUCUGGGCCGUAACUGACGCUGAGGAGCGAAAGCAUGGGGAGCGAACAGG